rnacentral:lncRNA from 1 species
GAGAAAAUUGCAAUUUUAGGACUCCAAACAACGCGCUUCGCUAUUUUAGGACUCCUAUCGUCGACUUCGCUAAAAUGACCCUCAAAACGUUGGCACUUCGUUAUACAUGACAUUUGCUCAUUUAAAACACUUUUCCCAAAUGAAAUACAUGUAUUUUAGCAUUAGAGGACCAUAUUGCCCUCAGCUCUUUUCUCCUGGACGUGGGAUGGUGCUGCUGGCCGCUCGCCUGGCCUGGCUGGCC